CAGCCGCCACGGUAAUACGGAGGGUGCAAGCGUUAAUCGGAAUUACUGGGCGUAAAGCGCACGCAGGCGGUCUGACAAGUCAGAUGUGAAAUCCCCGGGCUUAACCUGGGAACUGCAUUUGAAACUGUCAGGCUGGAGUCUUGUAGAGGGGGGUAGAAUUCCAGGUGUAGCGGUGAAAUGCGUAGAGAUCUGGAGGAAUACCGGUGGCGAAGGCGGCCCCCUGGACAAAGACUGACGCUCAGGUGCGAAAGCGUGGGGAGCAAACAGGAUUAGAGAACCCAGUAGUCCCUGUCUCUUAUAC
rnacentral:rRNA from 1 species